rnacentral:rRNA from 1 species
CCUACGGGUGGGCUGCAGUGGGGAAUAUUGGACAAUGGGGGGAACCCUGAUCCAGCCAUGCCGCGUGUGUGAAGAAGGCCCUCGGGUUGUAAAGCACUUUCAGUGAGGAAGAACGCCUGGUGGUUAAUACCCAUCAGGAAAGACAUCACUCACAGAAGAAGCACCGGCUAACUCCGUGCCAGCAGCCGCGGUAAUACGGAGGGUGCGAGCGUUAAUCGGAAUUACUGGGCGUAAAGCGCGCGUAGGUGGCUUGAUAAGCCGGUUGUGAAAGCCCCGGGCUCAACCUGGGAACGGCAUCCGGAACUGUCAAGCUAGAGUGCAGGAGAGGAAGGUAGAAUUCCCGGUGUAGCGGUGAAAUGCGUAGAGAUCGGGAGGAAUACCAGUGGCGAAGGCGGCCUUCUGGACUGACACUGACACUGAGGUGCGAAAGCGUGGGUAGCAAACAGGAUUAGAUACCCGGGUAGUC